CUAGAGAUAGGGCUUCUCCUUCGGGAGCAGAGUGACAGGUGGUGCAUGGUUGUCGUCAGCUCGUGUCGUGAGAUGUUGGGUUAAGUCCCGCAACGAGCGCAACCCUUGAUCUUAGUUGCCAUCAUUUAGUUGGGCACUCUAAGGUGACUGCCGGUGACAAACCGGAGGAAGGUGGGGAUGACGUCAAAUCAUCAUGCCCCUUAUGACCUGGGCUACACACGUGCUACAAUGGACGGUACAAAGAGCUGCAAGACCGCGAGGUGGAGCUAAUCUCAUAAAACCGUUCUCAGUUCGGAUUGUAGGCUGCAACUCGCCUACAUGAAGCUGGAAUCGCUAGUAAUCGCGGAUCAGCAUGCCGCGGUGAAUACGUUCCCGGGCCUUGUACACACCGCCCGUCACACCACGAGAGUUUGUAACACCCGAAGUCGGUGA
rnacentral:rRNA from 1 species